rnacentral:rRNA from 1 species
GAUGAACGCUGGCGGCGUGCCUAAUACAUGCAAGUCGAGCGAACGGACGAGAAGCUUGCUUCUCUGAUGUUAGCGGCGGACGGGUGAGUAACACGUGGAUAACCUACCUAUAAGACUGGGAUAACUUCGGGAAACCGUAGCUAAUACCGGAUAAUAUUUUGAACCGCAUGGUUCAAAAGUGAAAGACGGUCUUGCUGUCACUUAUAGAUGGAUCCGCGCUGCAUUAGCUAGUUGGUAAGGUAACGGCUUACCAAGGCAACGAUGCAUAGCCGACCUGAGAGGGUGAUCGGCCACCCUGGAACUGAGACACGGUCCAGACUCCUACGGGAGGCAGCAGUAGGGAAUCUUCCGCAAUGGGCGAAAGCCUGACGGAGCAACGCCGCGUGAGUGAUGAAGGCCUUCGGAUCGUAAAACUCUGUUAUUAGGGAAGAACAUAUGUGUAAGUAACUGUGCACAUCUUGACGGUACCUAAUCAGAAAGCCACGGCUAACUACGUG